rnacentral:hammerhead_ribozyme from 1 species
AUUCAUCUGACGAGUCCCGAAUAGGACGAAACGCGCGUCCUGGAU